rnacentral:rRNA from 1 species
GAGUUUGAUCCUGGCUCAGGAUGAACGCUAGCUGGAGGCUUAAUACAUGCAAGUCGAGCGGGAUUGGUCAGCAAUGGCCAUGAGAGCGGCGCACGGGUGAGUAACGCGUACACGACCUACCUUUGACUGGGGGAUAGCCCUGGGAAACUGGGAUUAAUACCGCAUAUAAUUCUGAUUAAUAAAGGAUUGGAAUGAAAGUUCAGGCGGUCAGAGAUGGGUGUGCGUCUGAUUAGCUAGUUGGUGAGGUAACGGCUCACCAAGGCGAUGAUCAGUAGGGGGCGUGAGAGCGUGGUCCCCCACACGGGUACUGAGACACGGACCCGACUCCUACGGGAGGCAGCAGUAAGGAAUAUUGGUCAAUGGGCGAAAGCCUGAACCAGCCAUCCAGCGUGCAGGAAGAAGGCCCUAUGGGUUGAAACUGCUUUUGUCAGGGAAUAAACCUGUGGAUUUAUCCGCAGCUGAAGGU